UACGUAGGGUGCAAGCGUUGUCCGGAAUUAUUGGGCGUAAAGAGCUCGUAGGCGGUUUGUCGCGUCUGCUGUGAAAACUCGGGGCUUAACUGUGGGUCUGCGGUGGAUACGGGCAGGCUGGAGGCUGGUAGGGGCAAGCGGAAUUCCUGGUGUAGCGGUGAAAUGCGCAGAUAUCAGGAGGAACACCGGUGGCGAAGGCGGCUUGCUGGGCCAGUUCUGACGCUGAGGAGCGAAAGCGUGGGGAGCGAACAGG
rnacentral:rRNA from 1 species